GCCAGUGUGGUGUAGUGGUUUGAGUGUUGGAUUAGGACUCUGGGAGGCCAAGGUUCGAAUCCUCGCUUGGCCA